rfam:Candidatus Buchananbacteria bacterium RIFCSPLOWO2_01_FTLL_40_23b rifcsplowo2_01_scaffold_1017, whole genome shotgun sequence.
GGAGGGGUGCCGGAGUGGUCUAACGGAACAGUCUUGAAAACUGUCGUGGCAGUAAUGUCACCGUGAGUUCGAAUCUCACCCCCUCCG